rnacentral:rRNA from 1 species
UACGAAGGGUGCAAGCGUUGUUCGGAAUUACUGGGCGUAAAGGGCGUGUAGGCGGAUUGUUCAGUCAGGAGUGAAAUCCCGGGGCUUAACUUCGGAAUUGCUUUUGAGACGGAUGAUCUAGAGUGCGUUAGGGGACAAUGGAACACCCAGUGUAGAGGUGAAAUUCGUAGAUAUUGGGUAGAACACCGGAGGCGAAGGCGAUUGUCUGGGGCGUAACUGACGCUGAGGCGCGAAAGCGUGGGGAUCAAAC